GACGAACGCUGGCGGCGUGCUUAACACAUGCAAGUCGAACGGAAAGGCCCUGCUUGUGUGGGGUGCGCGAGUGGCGAACGGGUGAGUAACACGUGAGUAACCAGCCCUGGAGGUUGGGAUAACGUCAGGAAACUGGGGCCAAUACCGGAUAGGAGCUCCUGCUGCAGGGAGGGGGUUGGAAAGUUUCGGCGGGUGGGGAUGGACUCGCGGCUUAUCGGCUUGUUGGUGGGGUAGUGGCUUACCAAGGCGUUGGAGGGUCGCCGGCCUGAGAGGGUGACCGGCCACCUUGGGACUGAGGUGAGGCACAGGCUCCUACGGGAGGCCGCAGUGGGGAAUCUUGCCCCAUGGGCGGCAGGCUGGUGCAGCAGCCCCGCGUGCGGGAUGCCGGCCUUCGGGUUGUCAACCGCUUUCGCCUGUGUCGCAGCCUGUGUGACCGUAAUGGGUAAAGAAGCCCCGGCUAACUACGUG
rnacentral:rRNA from 1 species